rnacentral:lncRNA from 1 species
UACUCAAAUUUCUAAGAGAGGUGAGGUGAUGAAGCCCCUGGUAUUCAAGGGAGGAGGGCAGCACCUGUUCUGAUAUGAACUCAACUUUAGGGCAACUCUUGAUCUUCAAUGUGUCAAGAGAGGUGAGGUGAUGAAGCCCCAUGUAGUCCAGAGAUUCUAGAUUUCUGAGAUAAGGUAUUCAAGGGAGGAGGGAAGCGCCUGCUCUGAUAUGGACUCAAGCUUAGGGCAACCCUCGAUACUCAAUCUCUGAAGAGAUGUGAGGUGAUGAAGCUCCUUAUAGUCCAGAGAUUUCAGGUUUUCCAGACGAUUGAUUUCAAGGGUUGUAAGAGUAGAGGGCAACGUCUCCUCGUCAAAAGACUCCACAUCGUUCCCAGUAAAUAUGAAGCAUGAAAGAGAAGGGAGUGCUUGCAAACCACAUACCUUGAGUUUGAUACAAUCCACAAUGCAAAGUGUGUUUAAUUUGGAGGGUAAACCUCCUUCAGGAAACGAAUCAACUUCUGGAAGUGAGAUCAAUUGCAAAUCUGUAGGGAAGGGAGGAGGGAAUGCAUGUUUUCCGGCAACGACUUCAAAUAUGAGCAACCCUCUAACACAAG